rnacentral:rRNA from 1 species
AAACCAGCACCUCAAGUGGUCAGGAGGAUUAUUGGGCCUAAAGCAUCCGUAGCCUGUUCUAUACGUUUCCGGUUAAAUCCAUUAGCUCAACUAAUGGGCUGCCGAAAAUACUGUAGAACUAGGGAGUGGGAGAGGUAGACGGUAUUCGGUAGGAAGGGGUAAAAUCCUUUGAUCUAUUGAGGACCACCUGUGGCGAAGGCGGUCUACCAGAACACGUUCGACGGUGAGGGAUGAAAGCUAGGGGAGCAAACCGGAUUAGAAACCCGUGUAGUCC